GACGAACGCUGGCGGCGUGCUUAACACAUGCAAGUCGAGCGGUAAGGCCCUUUCGGGGGUACACGAGCGGCGAACGGGUGAGUAACACGUGGGUGACCUGCCCUCAGCUCUGGGAUAAGCCUGGGAAACCGGGUCUAAUACUGGAUAUGACUCCAUGACGCAUGUUGUGGGGUGGAAAGCCUUGUGCGGCUGAGGAUGGGCCCGCGGCCUAUCAGCUUGUUGGUGGGGGAUGGCCUACCAAGGCGACGACGGGUAGCCGGCCUGAGAGGGCGACCGGCCACACUGGGACUGAGACACGGCCCAGACUCCUACGGGAGGCAGCAGUGGGGAAUCUUGCGCAAUGGGCGAAAGCCUGACGACGCAACGCCGCGUGGAGGAUGAAG
rnacentral:rRNA from 1 species